rnacentral:rRNA from 1 species
UACGUAGGGUGCAAGCGUUAAUCGGAAUUACUGGGCGUAAAGCGUGCGCAGGCGGUUUCGUAAGUCUGUCGUGAAAUCCCCGGGCUUAACCUGGGAACUGCAUUGGUGACUGGCAGGCUUUGAGUGUGGCAGAGGGAGGUAGAAUUCCACGUGUAGCAGUGAAAUGCGUAGAGAUGUGGAGGAAUACCGAUGGCGAAGGCAGCCUCCUGGGCCAACACUGACGCUCAUGCACGAAAGCGUGGGGAGCAAACAGG